rnacentral:lncRNA from 1 species
UAUCGCUUUCUCACCGACCACCCUGUCCCAACUGCCUCUCUACAUAUGCGGACCUAUCUCAUUGCCUUUUCUACUGCCCGGCUGCUCAGCAAUCGGAUUCCUAUUCUCCCCCUUCCCUUUCCAUCACCACCUGGCUCGACUGGCUUGGCGCUGAAGGGGAAGAAGAACAGCGUAGACUUGCCGCCCAGG